rnacentral:misc_RNA from 1 species
ACGAUACCUCUGUCUCUGAAAAUGGAAGGAAUAAAGAAAACUUCAUCUGACCGUCCUCUCCAUUUCACUGUUUCAUUUACAACCGUCGAUUACGCUAUUGCAACCCUCGCUUUCAUCUACAGUGGAGCUUCUUCUUCGUUAUUUUUAGCACCCAUUUUAGAGGGAAGUGAGUGACUCCUCCCAGCUCCUUCCAGCAAGAAACUCAAAGCUCGCCGGCCAUACAGCUUCGAGAUUCUUUUCCCUGCAUUCCGGCGAAGGGCCAACUCUAACUCCAAACCGUUUCAAGAAUCUCUUCUGGGGUGGGCUAGUUUCUGGGAAAUAAAUUCUCAGUGGUUAUCAUUAACUUAUCAGACUUUUGGAGAUCUUGGUGGUCCACCCCUUCGACGAUAUGGAGCUGGGUUCCAUUUGGAUGGUCCUGA